rnacentral:lncRNA from 1 species
GAAUGGAAAUAUUAUCUUUUACAAGUUUGGUUUCAUAGACUAUACAAAUGAUGCAGUGUCAUUUUCCUUUCAGACAAACGACAGAUCACAUCCCGAUAAUUUAUUUCAACUAGCCAAUAUGAUCUAAGUUUGAUCCUUGGAAUCAUCGCCGCUGGAGAUCGAUCCAACUGCUGAUGGAAAUGAGACAUAUAUCUCAACUUGUGCUGCGUUGACAUCCGGGGGUCUUCCUUUGCCCAAGGCCAUGGUUUGUCUUUGGAUCAGUUGGGUCCUAUAAGCGUAGGUCAACCGA